rnacentral:rRNA from 1 species
CAUGCAAGUCGAGCGAACAGAUGAGAAGCUUGCUUCUCUGAUGUUAGCGGCGGACGGGUGAGUAACACGUGGGUAACCUACCUAUAAGACUGGGAUAACUCCGGGAAACCGGGGCUAAUACCUGAUAAUAUUUUGAACCGCAUGGUUCGAUAGUGAAAGGCGGCUUCGGCUGUCACUUAUAGAUGGACCCGCGCCGUAUUAGCUAGUUGGUAAGGUAAUGGCUUACCAAGGCGACGAUACGUAGCCGACCUGAGAGGGUGAUCGGCCACACUGGAACUGAGACACGGUCCAGACUCCUACGGGAGGCAGCAGUAGGGAAUCUUCCGCAAUGGGCGAAAGCCUGACGGAGCAACGCCGCGUGAGUGAUGAAGGUUUUCGGAUCGUAAAACUCUGUUGUUAGGGAAGAACAAAUUUGUUAGUAACUGAACAAGUCUUGACGGUACCUAACCAGAAAGCCACGGCUAACUACGUGCCAGCAGCCGCGGUAAUACGUAGGUGGCAAGCGUUAUCCGGAAUUAUUGGGCGUAAAGCGCGCGUAGGCGGUUUCUUAAGUCUGAUGUGAAAGCCCACGGCUCAACCGUGGAGGGUCAUUGGAAACU